rnacentral:rRNA from 1 species
CCUACGGGAGGCAGCAGUGAGGAAUAUUGGUCAAUGGACGCGAGCCUGAACCAGCCAAGUAGCGUGCAGGAUGACUGCCCUACGGGUUGUAAACUUCUUUUGUACAAGGAUAAAGUGAGGCACGUGUGCCUUUUUGUAUGUACUUUAUGAAUAAGGAUCGGCUAACUCCGUGCCAGCAGCCGCGGUAAUACGGAGGAUCCGAGCGUUAUCCGGAUUUAUUGGGUUUAAAGGGUGCGUAGGGGGUUUGUUAAGUCAGUGGUGAAAUCUCGAGGCUCAACCUUAAAAUUGCAAUUGAUACUGGCCGUCUAGAGUAUAGUUGCGGUAGGCGGAAUGCGUGGUGUAGCGGUGAAAUGCUUAGAGAUCAUGCAGAACGCCGAUUGCGAAGGCAGCUUACCAAGCUGCUUCUGACAUUGAGGCACGAAAGUGUGGGGAGCAAACAGUAUUAGAUACCCGGGUAGUC